GACGAACGCUGGCGGCGUGCUUAACACAUGCAAGUCGAACGGAAAGGCCCUGCUUUUGUGGGGUGCUCGAGUGGCGAACGGGUGAGUAACACGUGAGUAACCUGCCCUUGACUUUGGGAUAACUUCAGGAAACUGGGGCUAAUACCGGAUAGGAGCUCCUGCUGCAUGGUGGGGGUUGGAAAGUUUCGGCGGUUGGGGAUGGACUCGCGGCUUAUCAGCUUGUUGGUGGGGUAGUGGUUUACCAAGGCUUUGACGGGUAGCCGGCCUGAGAGGGUGACCGGCCACAUUGGGACUGGGAUACGGCCCAGACUCCUACGGGAGGCAGCAGUGGGGAAUAUUGCACAAUGGGCGGAAGCCUGAUGCAGCAACGCCGCGUGCGGGAUCACGGCCUUCGGGUUGUAAACCGCUUUCGCCUGUGACGAAGCGUGAGUGACGGUAAUGGGUAAAGAAGCACCGGCUAACUACGUG
rnacentral:rRNA from 1 species